rnacentral:rRNA from 1 species
AGUGAACGCUGGCGGUAGGCCUAACACAUGCAAGUCGAACGGCAGCACAGUAAGAGCUUGCUCUUACGGGUGGCGAGUGGCGGACGGGUGAGGAAUACAUCGGAAUCUACUUUUUCGUGGGGGAUAACGUAGGGAAACUUACGCUAAUACCGCAUACGACCUACGGGUGAAAGCAGGGGAUCUUCGGACCUUGCGCGAUUGCAUGAGCCGAUGUCGGAUUAGCUAGUUGGCGGGGUAAAGGCCCACCAAGGCGACGAUCCGUAGCUGGUCUGAGAGGAUGAUCAGCCACACUGGAACUGAGACACGGUCCAGACUCCUCCGGGAGGCAGCAGUGGGGAAUAUUGGACAAUGGGCGCAAGCCUGAUCCAGCCAUACCGCGUGGGUGAAGAAGGCCUUCGGGUUGUAAAGCCCUUUUGUUGGGAAAGAAAAGCAGCAGGUUAAUACCCCGCUGUUCUGACGGUACCCAAAGAAUAAGCACCGGCUAACUUCGUG